CACGUCCUACGGGAGGCAGCAGUGAGGAAUAUUGGUCAAUGGUCGGGAGACUGAACCAGCCACGCCGCGUGAGGGAUGAAGGUACAGAGUAUCGUAAACCUCUUUUGUCAGGGAACAAAGGCGGGGACGUGUCCCCGGAUGAGUGUACCUGAAGAAAAAGCAUCGGCUAACUCCGUGCCAGCAGCCGCGGUAAUACGGAGGAUGCGAGCGUUAUCCGGAUUUAUUGGGUUUAAAGGGUGCGCCGGCGGUCUGUUAA
rnacentral:rRNA from 1 species